UACGGAGGGUGCAAGCGUUAUCCGGAUUUACUGGGUUUAAAGGGUGCGUAGGUGGGUAGGUAAGUCAGUGGUGAAAUCUCCGAGCUUAACUCGGAAACUGCCAUUGAUACUAUAGGUCUUGAAUUAUCUGGAGGUAAGCGGAAUAUGUCAUGUAGCGGUGAAAUGCUUAGAUAUGACAUAGAACACCAAUUGCGAAGGCAGCUUACUACGGAUUGAUUGACACUGAGGCACGAAAGCGUGGGGAUCAAACAGG
rnacentral:rRNA from 1 species